ensembl:snRNA Gm22248 predicted gene, 22248
AUACUUACCUGGUAGUGGAGAUACCACAAUCAAGAAGGUAGUUUUAGCAAAGCAAGGCUCUUCUGUUACACUUCUGUGAUAUCCUAAAAUGUGGGAAACUUGACUGCAUAAUUCAUAGUAGUCUGAGACUAUGGUCAUACUUUACUCUUA